GUGUGUGUAUAUAAUGCAGUGUGUUUGUGUAGUGUGCAUUAUAUAAACACACUACACAAACACACUGCAUUAUAUACACACACAC